rnacentral:rRNA from 1 species
UGAGGAAUAUUGCAACAAUGGGCGCAAGCCUGAUGCAGCGACGCCGCGCGGGUGAUGAAGGUCUUCGGAUCGUAAAGCCCUUUUUCUGCGUGACGAGACAGGACGGUAGCGCAGGAAUAAGUCUCGGCUAACUACGUGCCAGCAGCCGCGGUAAAACGUAGGAGACGAACGUUAUCCGGAGUUACUGGGCGUAAAGGGCGUGUAGGCGGUUUGUUAAGUCUGGCGUGAAAGCUCUCGGCUAAACCGGGAGAGGUCGUUGGAUACUGGCGAACUAGAGGAUGGUAGAGGCGUGUGGAAUUCCGGGUGUAGUGGUGAAAUGCGUAGAGAUCCGGAGGAACACCAGUGGCGAAGGCGACACGCUGGGCCAAUUCUGACGCUGAGGAGCGAAAGCCAGGGGAGCAAACGGGAUUAGAUACCCGUGUAGUCCCUGAGCGGGCUGGCAAGGCGCAU